CGGGGAGUAGCGCAGCCUGGUAGCGCAUCUGGUUUGGGACCAGAGGGUCGAAGGUUCAAAUCCUUUCUCCCCGACCA
rnacentral:tRNA from 2 species